rnacentral:lncRNA from 1 species
AUGGUGAUGUGCAGCUUGUCAACAAACCACAUAUGCCAAACAAGGAAGCAAAACCAACUGAAGGGCUCUCAGCUUUCCAGUGUGCAGAAGUUGAAGGUUAACAGGGGGAAGAAAGCUCACAGGAACUUCAUUAACAAGGGAUUAAACAGUUUACUGGACACAAGGUACUUGCAACCUCAAAUAAAGCAGCACAGAAACACAGCACAGGAAGAGUUUUCUCUGAAAAGAUACCUGGACCAGAAAGUCUUGGUUCUACCCUAUCUGCCAGAGACUCACCUAAAUCCAAUUAGGGUAGCAGCAUACAGAAUAAAUAGAAUCCGAGGAAUAUGAAUAAAUUAUGUUUUCU